AGAGUUUGAUCAUGGCUCAGAUUGAACGCUGGCGGCAGGCUUAACACAUGCAAGUCGAACGGUAACAGAACUAGCUUGCUAGUUGCUGACGAGUGGCGGACGGGUGAGUAACGCGUAGGAAUCUACCGAAUAGUGGGGGACAACAGUUGGAAACGGCUGCUAAUACCGCAUACGCCCUACGGGGGAAAGGAGGGGAUCUUCGGACCUUUCGCUAUCUGAUGAGCCUGCGUGAGAUUAGUUAGUUGGUGGGGUAAUGGCUCACCAAGGCGACGAUCUCUAGCUGGUCUGAGAGGAUGAUCAGCCACACUGGGACUGAGACACGGCCCAGACUCCUACGGGAGGCAGCAGUGGGGAAUAUUGCACAAUGGGGGAAACCCUGAUGCAGCCAUGCCGCGUGUGUGAAGAAGGCCUUCGGGUUGUAAAGCACUUUCAGUUGUGAGGAAAGGUUAAGGGUUAAUAA
rnacentral:rRNA from 1 species